CCAAUAGCGUAUAUUAAAGUUGUUGCAGUUAAAAAGCUCGUAGUUGAAUUUCGGGAUCAAAUUGUCGGUCGUGCCUCGGUACGCACUGGUAUUAUUGGUUCCUACCUUCUGAAGAACCGCGAUGUCAUUAAUUUGGUGUCGUGGGGAAUCAGGACUGUUACUUUGAAAAAAUUAGAGUGUUUAAAGCAGGCUUACGCUUGAAUACAUUAGCAUGGAAUAAUGAAAUAGGACGUUUGAUUCUAUUUUGUUGGUUUCUAGGAUUGACGUAAUGAUUAAUAGGGAUAGUUGGGGGCAUUAGUAUUCAAUUGUCAGAGGUGAAAUUCUUGGAUUUAUUGAAGACUAACUACUGCGAAAGCAUUUGCCAAGGAUGUUUUCAUUAAUCAAGAACGAAAGUUAGGGGAUCGAAGACGAUCAGAUACCGUCGUAGUCUUAACCAUAAACUAUGCCAACUAGGGAUCGGAUGAUGUUAAUUUUUUAAUGACUCAUUCGGCGCCUUACG
rnacentral:misc_RNA from 1 species